rnacentral:tRNA from 1 species
GGUGCGGGCCAUCUGGGGAUUGCGGAAUCGCCUCGGGAGCUGGCGGGAAUUGUUUUCAAGUCCAAUGUCGCGCGUGCGGAGUCGCGUCACGCGCUG